rnacentral:misc_RNA from 1 species
UUUCCGUAGGUGAACCUGCGGAAGGAUCAUUAAUGAGUUGUCAUGGGGUUCGAUGCUGGCAGCCAAUUUUUGGAUGCAUGUGCUUGCCCUAACAACCAUCUUCCAAACACCUGUGCACAUUUUUGAGGGAGUCUUGAGUUGGUUGCCGCUCUUGGGUGAUUUUCUCACAUUCCCUUAAAUCAUUAUACACCAUUAACAAUGUUGAACGUGCUCUGUGCCGCAAGGCUAUUAAUAUAAUACAACUUUUAACAACGGAUCUCUUGGCUCUC